rnacentral:rRNA from 1 species
UACGUAGGGGGCGAGCGUUGUCCGAAGUUACUGGGCGUAAAGAGCGCGUAGGCGGGUCUUUAAGUGAGUGGUGAAAGUUUUCGGCCCAACCGGAAAAUGGCCUUUGAUACUGGCGAGCUCGAGUGCGUGAGGGGUAACCGGAACGAGCAGUGUAGCGGUGAAAUGCGUAGAUAUUGCUCGGAAGGCCAACGGCGAAGGCAGGUUACUGGUGCGCAACUGACACUGAGGCACGAAAGCGUGGGGAGCAAACAGG